GAUGAACGCUGGCUACAGGCUUAACACAUGCAAGUCGAGGGGAAACGACGGGGAAGCUUGCUUCCCCGGGCGUCGACCGGCGCACGGGUGAGUAACGCGUAUCCAACCUGCCUCUGACUGAGGGAUAACCCGUCGAAAGUCGGCCUAAUACCUCAUGGCAUCGUCUGCGGGCAUCCAACGACGAUUAAAGAUUUCAUCGGUCAGAGAUGGGGAUGCGUCUGAUUAGCUUGUUGGCGGGGUAACGGCCCACCAAGGCGACGAUCAGUAGGGGUUCUGAGAGGAAGGUCCCCCACAUUGGAACUGCGCCACGGUCCACACUCCUACGGGAGGCAGCAGUGAGGAAUAUUGGUCACUGGGCGAGAGCCUGAACCAGCCAAGUAGCGUGCAGGAUGACGGCCCUAUGGGUUGUAAACUGCUUUUAUGCGGGGAUAAAGUGAGGGACGUGUCCUUCAUUGCAGGUACCGCAUGAAUAAGGACCGGCUAAUUCCGUG
rnacentral:rRNA from 1 species